GGAUGGGUGGCCGAGCGGUUUAAGGCUCUAGUCUUGAAAACUAGCGUGCGGGGAACCGUACCGUGGGUUCGAAUCCCACCCCAUCCGCCA
rnacentral:tRNA from 1 species